AGUAAUGCCUAGGAAAUUGCCCUGAUGUGGGGGAUAACCAUUGGAAACGAUGGCUAAUACCGCAUGAUGCCUACGGGCCAAAGAGGGGGACCUUCGGGCCUCUCGCGUCAGGAUAUGCCUAGGUGGGAUUAGCUAGUUGGUGAGGUAAUGGCUCACCAAGGCGACGAUCCCUAGCUGGUCUGAGAGGAUGAUCAGCCACACUGGAACUGAGACACGGUCCAGACUCCUACGGGAGGCAGCAGUGGGGAAUAUUGCACAAUGGGCGCAAGCCUGAUGCAGCCAUGCCGCGUGUAUGAAGAAGGCCUUCGGGUUGUAAAGUACUUUCAGUCGUGAGGAAGGUGGUGUUGUUAAUAGCAGCAUCAUUUGACGUUAGCGACAGAAGAAGCACCGGCUAACUCCGUGCCAGCAGCCGCGGUAAUACGGAGGGUGCGAGCGUUAAUCGGAAUUACUGGGCGUAAAGCGCAUGCAGGUGGUGGAUUAAGUCAGAUGUGAAAGCCCGGGGCUCAACCUCGGAACCGCAUUUGAAACUGGUUCACUAGAGUACUGUAGAGGGGGGUAGAAUUUCAGGUGUACCGGUGAAAUGCGUAGAGAUCUGAAGGAAUACCGGUGG
rnacentral:rRNA from 1 species